UGCCUCGUCGUCUAACGGUAGGACACGACACUCUGGAUGUUGGUAUCUUGGUUCGAAUCCAGGCGAGGCAG
rnacentral:tRNA from 1 species